rnacentral:sRNA from 1 species
AAUAAAUAUUUUUAAAAGUAUAUAAUAUCCUUUGUGAUUCCCUCUCACUCUAGUUGGAAUGCUACUGUCAAGAAAACAGAUGCAGAUAAGGAGUUAGGGAUAAGAAUGUAAAGUUGUGCUGUCAUCAUGGACAUCAGUAGAGGGGUUUCUCAAAACAAGCAAAAGGUCAUAUGUGCAGUCACUGCUAUAAAGCUAAAGCCAUAAAGGGUUAUCUUUUGCCUAUGUAUAGUAGCCCUCGACAUAUAAAAAAAGCCCUAUGUGUAAUAGCCCUAGAAGCCUGGAUGAGUAAGAAGUAUGAUUGUCUCUUCUUGAGAAUUUCAAUAAAAACUUAUUAUUUCUAUGACUGAUUUCCCAUGUGCUGAAACAGUGGUGGAGGUCCACACUCAUAGUUCUAGAAUCAUUGUCAGCAAGCUAUUGGUCCCAAAGAAAAUGCAACGAGAGACCCCUGUAUCUUGAAGUGGCAAGCAAAGAACCUAGUUGAAGUAUAGUGGAAGAAUUCAAAACUUCAAGCAACUCUUUCUAUUGUCAUUCUCUGCUCUCAUCUCAAGUCACUGUUCAUUUGUAGUCUAUAAGCCCAGUUUCCUUUCGCCUGUGGUCAUAGAACCAUUACAUUUCCACUGGGUUUUACUGUCUCUCCCCACCAUUUCCCCAGCAUUAAAACCAAACUAGGUGCCUUACAUGCUCCAGAUAGUCCACUUCUUGCCUGAGAUGACGAUGGGUACCUGAUAGAAUCCAGAUAGCCAUUCGUCAAGAAUCUCAAUGCAGCCUACUGAGAUCCAACCAGCUCAAGGGGGUCUGUUGAGCUCAGUUCUCCAGAGUGUUUUGUUUAUUUAUAGAAACUACAUGUUGUGGUGGAACUCCUGAUUAAAAUUAGGAAAUCCCAUCCAAGAAUCACCUUAUUUCAAAAGUAGUAUUUCAAAAGUACUUAUUUCAAAAGUACUAGCACUGGAGGAUUUCCAGCAGAAAAGACUUUUGCCAACAGUGAUGUGCAACCAUGUGCUCAUGGGCAAGAAGUUUCAAUUGUGUCUGUUUCCUCAUUAAGUGCAUUAAGUGAUGCACUUUAUUGAUCAUUUUGUUGUUGUUGUUCUCUUCUGUGGUUUACAUGUUACAAUAAGAGGACUAGAUAUGACGGUUCUGCUGUGUCUCCAAUGAGAAUGAGAAACAUCUCUUCACCAGUCUACAUUCAAUGGUUAUGUAACUGUAUGAAGGCCCUUUAAGUGCAUUCACAGCUAUGUCCAAUUCCACUUUUGGCAUAGCCCCAAAUUUGGUCCCAAAGGUUGGCCAGGAAAGCCUCUCUCACUUAGCUAAUAGAUAAGUCAUUCCAAACUUCAACAAAUUUGCCCUGGGCUCCAAGUAGGGGCCCCCUCACCAUGCAAAGUAGCCUCUAUUCAAAACAAAGUCCAUAGGCCUCUCAUUCCGCUCUCCCCAUCUACCUCCCAGUCCUCACACCAACCCCUUUUGUCAAAUAGUUCUUUCUGGAGCAUCACUGACACCUGUUGUGCCACAGAAUUUCUCAUUUGUUAUCUGUUCUCUUCCUGUGCUUUCGAACCAUGCCACCCCUCGGGGGAAGAAUAUUGUCAAUAUCAGCAAUAAUUUUUUCCCACACAUCCCAAUGGUCCAAAAUCUGCUUUCAUCUUAUCGCGGCAACAUUUUACAGUGUUUUUCCUCUACUGUUUAGGGGGCAGAUGUAAAUUUAGAAGUGAUCAGAUUUAAGAGCAGUGAUUUUAGCUGUGCUGUGUCCUGUUGUGCUUUCUAUUGCUGUGAUAAACACUAUGACCAAAACCAACUAAGGUAAGAAAGGGUUUAGUCCACCUUUAAGGUUACAGUCUAUCAUUGAGAGAAGACAAGGCAGGGACCUGGAGAUAGAAACUGGAGCAAAGACCAUGGGGUAAUGGCACUUACUAGCUUGCCUUCUAUGGUGUGCUCAGCUUGCUUCUUAUAUGUCCUAGUCCACCUGCCCAGGCAUGGGACUGCCUCAGUGAGCUAGACCUUCUCACAUCAAUCAUUAAUGAAAAACAAAACAACAAAACAACAACAACAACAACAACAACAACCCACAGACAUAGCUACAGGCUGAUGUGAUGGAAGCAACGCCUCAAAUGAGAUUCUGUCUUCCAGGUGACUCUAUGACUUAUGUACUCAUACACACAUACUUAUUUUUAUCCCAUAACUAUUUUUGCAUUGAAUUGAUUAAAAGAAAACUACAUAUUCUACACCUACAGAAAGCUAAGGGUUUAAACAGAAUGCUGAACCAUAGGAUGUGGAAAUCAUGGUGUCCCUGAAAUGUUACUCACCACAUCUUGGAUAGACACAAAAAGAGUAUAGAACAGUACUUGCCAUGUAAAAAAGCAUCAUGUUAAUUAGUUUACAAUAAUUUGCAUAUAUAACCAAGGCUCAAAGUUUCUACCAAGUAAUGAGUCUACUUUUGGCAGGAGCAAAUGAGAAUUUUAACUGGUUCAAGUUCCAAAGUCAAGUUAAUUGAGCCGGAACUUGAACUUGGCAAGCUUCAAAUGCUACUUGGUUGUUCUGUGAUAUUAGGUUCCUUUAACAGCAUUAUGAAGCUGAAGUUUUGUGUUCUUUGAAGGGGCCUAUAAAUAGCCAUGCUGUUGGUUUCACAUCUUUAAACAUGAAUUAUUCACUUAGAAUGAGUUCUGCACCUGCCGCUGGUCUACAAUCAAAAUGUAUUUUCAUCUUGAUAUAUCUUCAUUCAUCACCAAAUCUCCCAAGUUCCCAACUCUAAAGAUGGUGUGGACUUUGUUGCAUCUCUUUGGAGACCCUUGAGACUGCUCUCAUAUUUCUAAAGACCCAAACCAACUAGAGAUGUUCUUCUCAGGACCAGUUCCUCCUGACUGCACAGGUGAGUUUACAUGGAGACUCUCAGCUGAGCUGUAGCCUUUCAAACUCCAAAGUUGCUAUGAAUGUUUUCUUCUUUACUAUCAUUAUCCAGGAGUCACUCUGAAAUAAGCAUUCCUUGUUAUUAAAAGCUUUAUCCUCUACAUGCAUAUGCCCUUGGAUUUUAAAGGCCAUGUUUUUAAAGCAUAAAAAGUACAGAUGUUUCCACUCACCCCAUUUAUAUUACCCCACCCAGCAAUGAUAUUAGCCUUUUAGCUGUGUAUGCCACAUUAGCAAUCUGAGUGCUUUCUGAAUCAAAGCAUAAACCUGUAGUGUCUCUAAUGUGGAAUGAAGUUGCACAUUUUUGCCAUGCAUUCACUCAAGCAUAUGGCUUCAUAAUUGAACUCAAGAGAUUGUAUUUUGGAUUCACUUCUGCUCUAAUAAAAAUGUACACACAUUAAUGUGUCUGUCCCCACUUACAGACACACUUCGAGACAGUUUGGCUAUCUGUUACAGUGUGGAUUUGCCUUUGUUUCUCUGUUGAGAACUGAAGGCAUGAUAACUUAAUUACAUAAAAUAACGCAACAAGAUAGAAAAUAGUCUGUAUUAUAUUUUGCAUAGGUCAUUUAAACAUAAUUGCAUAAUGAUAUGAACUCCCAGGUCUCCUAACAAAGAUGCUUAAUAUUUUUAGGAGAGAUAAGGUUGAAAAGCACCGAUUCGGCCACAGUGUUACAGCUGUUAAUCAGCCAAGCUUUCAAAUAAAUAGUCACACUGACCUAACUGUGCAGAUAAUGGACGUCAGAGACGGAUGCGGUGGCUGAAGUCACGUGCUGCCCUGUAUCAGUCAUGUACAUUCCUCCGGCUGUUUGUGAAAUACAAGCAUGCUAUGCAAAGGUUUGUCUUUCUAACUCCGGAUUCUGAGGCUAGAAGACCCCAGUCAGUAAGUACGUGAAAACAGCACAAUACCAGUCUUGUGGCCACCAUGGGUAUCAAGCUAAAGAAAUUUAGACUGCAAGAAAGGAAAUGUGUGUUUACAUAAAUGCAUGACAUAAUUAAAGCAAGACUAGGAAAUUGUCCAAAGUCCAUAAGUAACAGACAGCCUCACGGAGGCAAGUUCAAGAAUUUAUUCUCACAAAAGCUUUCUCUGCUUUUAUUCUUAGAAAAUCUGGGGGUGGGGGCUGGAGAUUAUAAUUCAUCCUAGAACUAUAUAGCAUAAGUAAAUUAACAAUAAAAAUGAUAAAUUGGGCAAUAAAAAAGAUUACAGAAAUAAUGCUUUCACAUAUUGGACAUUCAUUAAAUUGACUUCCAAAUGUAAUUACUUUAACAUUUCUACUUCUUAUUCAGUACAGAUUUUUGGAUCAUUAAAUAAGAUAGUAAAUAUUACGCUUCCUUCAAGGAAGAUAAUUUAUGGCCCAGCAAAUUUUCCAACAGGGACUAAAAGUGAUGACAAUCAGACCAAUUUUGAUUAUAAUAAUUUCUUGGACCUAAGGUAAUCCUUCAAAAUUAUCUUACCAGAUAUGUAUCUUACGCCAUUCGGUACAGGCACCUAAAAAUAGCACAUGCACAACAUCUAGGAAAUCACAUUCUUCUGUAUUCCCAUAGGAUUUUAUAGAUAUUUUUGCUUUAUACGUUAUUUAAUAGAUAAUCUAUCUUUAUACAUCAUAGUGGUUAUUUUGAGCAUGUGUUUUUAUUUCCAACUAAACCACAGUGGGAAAUUUAGACCCUCAAAAUCACACACAACCUAGGCAGAAAAAAAAGAAGCAACUAAGACCAUAUCUAUAAAGGGAUAUAAGAAUGCAGUAUUUAGGAGUCUGUGUUUCUACGGUAGGCAUGUGGGUGCCACUCAUUCUAUGCUGGGAUAUUCUUCUAACAGGCACAAGAUUGUGAUAACUCUCUGACCUGAAAGAAUGGCAAUAGAAAUUUACAAACUAGAAUGUGUCCCAAUGAUAUGAUGUCUGAAUGAUUGCUAGGGCAUUAUAACAGCUGAAAGAAGUCAUGAUAGAUAACGGGGACUGGGCAAAGUUAGUGCCUCAGAAGGUAUUGAGUUACAACGCAAGUCCCAUCCCAUAUGUUUCCCAUGAGUAAAAGGCUGUUAGAACUGUAAAGGGAAAUACGUUUCAAAACAGGGACACCAAAUGACCCAGCUGUCAUUUCAGCACCAUAACGUACUUGGUUAGUCAUUCUUUUAUUCUGAUGGUUAUUAAAUAUGUGAAAGCCUUUGGAGAACUAAGGAAAUUUGGAGUUUCUAAGGGACUGUCGUUCUACAGGAGAAGACAAAAAGGUUAAUCAAGGAAUACGUAAUACCACUCAGUGCUACAGUUAUAAGGACAGGUAUCACAGGUUCAGCGGCAAAUCAGUAUUUUCAUGAGGAGAAUGUCUUCAAGACAGUGGAAGAAUGUAAUGUGGUGGGAAACAACUUGACAAAUUUUACAAUUUUUAAGAAAUGUGUUAUCUUGAUAAUGUAUUAUAAAUCUGUGAUUAUUUUCACUAAUUCGUACAUCUCUUCCAUAUAAUUUUUCUGGAAGUGGUGGAGCAGACUUUACAAAUUAAAAAAAAAAUCAACUUUUCGAUAGGUCAACAUCUCAAAUCCAAAAAUUUUAGAUUUCUGAUCUUAUAAAUCAACGAUCGAUGGCUUAACUAUUACAUGAUAGGUUAUUAAUCAAAUUUUGCUGUGCUCAUAAAUGGGACAACUUCAGACAGGUUUCAAAACACAAAUUUCAGUGGGUUAGGCUAAGAUGGUUGCAAGUUCAUUGCUAAUCACCCUUGGAUCUAGGUUAGUAUUAUGACUACAUGACCAAAAUCUUUGGAGAUAGUGAUAAACUAUACUUCAUAACUCUUGUGAUUGAGGCUUUAUGGGACCCCACAGCUUCUGGAUUUUCUGUUUAUAUUGCUUUGUCAAGGGGCUAGCCAGACAGUAGGUACAACAUUGGAUUAUUACAACCACCAUACUGUGAGGAAGUCCAACAGGAAGACAGACUGAGAACCGCAUGGAAAGACAUACGCAAGCAUUUCCCCACUCCUCUAGACUUGCCAAGAGCUUACACAAGACACAUGAGUGAGGAUGCCUUCAGAUCCCUCCCCAUGCUCUCUUUUCCAUUAGUGUACCAGUCUGUAAUGUUAUUACCAUAGGAUUAUCUGACUACUGGAUUACAUUUCAUACUGCCAGAUUAGUCCAAGUAUUAGAGAAGUCAGACCCAAGAUUUCAAUGCCCCCAAAUAGUACUAUUCGUCCUUUCUGAUGUAUUAAAUUACAUUAUAUGGCAUGUAGUACAAUCAGAUGUACUCACAGGAAAGCAAGUUAUUUUAUUAUAGUGAGAAACUUUUCAGGGAAAAUUGCCUUCUAGCAUCUAACCAAGUCAAGAACUGGUAGAGAUUACUAAUAGAGUAUUGUCUGGAACAAAUGUGUGUUAGCAGUAUGUCUUAAAUAGUAAUUGAGACCUCGAAUAUUUGUUUUUCUGAAGUAAUGACUUUUAUUUUUGAGUUUUAGUGUUCUGAGAAAACAGCACCAAGAGUACUUACCUGUGGUAGGGGUCAUUAGUCUGACUCUCCAUUUCAAUGAAUAAAAAGAGAAAGGAACAAAGAGAGUCCAUGAUUUAUAGGAAGCCAUGCAAAGUAUCUAACAAAGUCUGAAACUUCCAGGUAUCUAGAUUUGCUGUUGAGCUUUUCAGAGGACAUUUAAAAAAAAUCAAUAUUCUAGGAGAUGACAAAAUUGCCAUCGUAUUAUCUGACUCCUGGAUUAUGUUUUAUAUAAUCAGAUUAACCCAAGUACUAGUGAAAUUAGACCCACAAUUACAAUUGCAAAGGCAAUGGUAUUUAUUUUUCCAAUGUGCUAUAUUACAUUGUAUUACUUGGAAAUAAAAGAGGAGAUGUGUUCUUAGAAAAGCUAAUCUAUAAAAAAUAGUAGACUCCAGGGUGACAAAGGGAGGGACCCAAAAGCAGUGUGAAAGGUUUUUUUUCUGGAAUCAUUGGAAAAACAUGUGCUGUGAUUUAAGCAUGAAUUAUAUAUGGUUAUACACCUAAAGAAACUCAAAUUUGAGUGUUUUUGUGCACAUAAAUUUCUGUUUUGUUUUCUAAAAAAUAGUAAUAACGAUUGCACUGCAGAAUUGCUUUCAUAGUAAAUGCUUGCUGUGAAAGCAUGAGACCUGGAUUUCAGAUCCCCAAACCCACAUAGAAGCUGAAGGGGUGUGGUAGUUCGGUUUCAAAGAGACAAGGACAGGGAAUUCCUUGACAAAGCAGGCUAGCCAACUAUGUGAAACGAUGAGUUUCUGGUUCAGUGUGAGACUCCUUCCUGCUCCAUAUGGAGGAUAGAGAACAAUCAAGGAAGACACCCACUAUGUCUUGACCCUCUAUACCCAUGCACAAACAUGUCUGCCCACAGACCCAUACAUAUUCAUGGAUAGCAUACAUGUGCGCAGAAAGUAACAGUAGCAGUAAAGGAGAUUUGGUUCUCCCAAAUGAGGAGAUGACUUGGCAGCUAUUGUUUUGCCAGUGGAAGAUGGCUUGUGUCACCCAACCUCUCUGUUUUCCAUUGUUGAAUGGGUGAGAAGGAUCAAGGACAUACGUAUGAGGCUAGAAAAUCAAGUAGCACUAACAGCCACUCGGAGGUGGACAUAUAUGCCAUGGAACAUCAUUGUUAGAAAGCCUCAAGAACUAACAUCAAGAACAGAGCCUAAGGAAGAAAGGCCGCCAUGUUGAUUCUCAACGUUAAAAGCACUAAAUUGUUUGCCUAAUGCUCCUCCAGCUUGGGAAAUGCUGGCCUGUUUGCUCAAGUCCUGGAUGCCAGACAUUCCUGAGACUCCACUCCACACACACCCCUUCCUCCUUGCCAAUCACUUCAGAUUGGGAGAGCAAGCUACCACCAGUGUGCUAAGGUGAGGUCAUCGCCCUGCAAUAGGAUAAAAGUUCAAUAAACUUCCCAUCCAGUUUGGGUCAUGAGGACCCUCUAGCAAAUAUAAAAAUUACCUUACAGAGUUACUCUUGCUUUGUUUGUGCAUCUCUUUGUGCAAUGCCAGAAAUAUUCUUUUUUCCACUUAAGGGACCAUAAGUUCAAGGCCAGCCUUUGUUACAUAGGAGUUUGAGGCUAACCUACAUUAUAAAAGACUCAGAAAAAAAAUCUCCACCUUAAUAAUUUCUUGCAUCGUAAGUGCUCUGUUAGAAAGGUUUCAAACUUAAUCAAUAAUCGAUUUUCAUGCAGUUUUAAUUAAGAACAUUGUCAGAAACUUUAAAAGCAUAUGAAAUAGUUUAUGCCGAUUUUAGCCACUUUUUCCCAAACUAUGUUUUAUUUUCCUUAGAGACUUUGGCAUCAUCAUAGUUAAUUGCUAAAAUGAUAAUCAUUCUACCUGUGACCUCUUCAAAGAAAUCCAACCGUAUACAGGAAGCAUAGUGAAUGAGUCAUUCCUUUAGUAAAGUAAAUCAACAGCCAUGCAUGAAGUUCUUCAAACUCUAACAGGCUCCCCAAAGAACCUCUGGUUAAUCUUAAAGAGACGAAAAUGCCUUAAAACAGCCUUUCGGAGAAGCAGGAAGUCCUAUGCGAUUUGCUUCCAAUUUAUUUAUAGGAAGUAAAAAGAUAGCCAUCCUAUCCUCAGACUACUGUUAACCUUGCCCGGAAAAGAGUGAUGAUUUUUAGAGUUAUGAUUGUUAAUGGCGUUUGAAUGCAGCCUGUGUAGGCCUUUAACUCCCCAGUGUACAGUAAGGUUCGGCCCUUUCCAGAUGGGAAAGUGAUAAGGACCCUGGGAAGACAGCAGGUCAUUCUUGGAAGGCUGCCAGGAACUUGAAGCCAAGUGAAUCAUGUAGGGCUAUAGUGCUCUAGCCAGCAUUUUUCUGUUUUAAUUUAUCAAGCCAAAGCUUGUUGACAUGAAAGUGAAUGAAUUCGUUAUACAGUGAGCUCUAAAAAGCCAGCUCAAGGGUUUAGUGUGGAAGAACGCUGACUAUAAAUAACAAAGGAAAUACAGGCACUGUUUCCUUCACCAGCCCUGCUCUGUGUGUUGGAGAUGCAACAACAAUUAACUCAAGUUCCAGUAACUCCUACAACUGGAGGGGGAGCCAAUUCUUUGAAAUAUUACAGAGGCUCCAAAAUCUGCCGCCGAUGAUUAUCAAAGGGUUAAUCUUUGAAUUGCUCAUGUUAAUGCUUUGCUCUGUGAGGCCCUGUUUAUCUGCUUAGCAAAUGUAAUAGAGUAAUGGACAUGGUGGGGAUGACUGUUUCCUGCUAGAACUUGGCACUGCACACAAGAAAGGCCAGCACCAGCUUCUUUGAAAACCAAACAAAACAAAAUUCUCGGCGAGUUGGCUAAUAAGGCGAAAAUGAAAUAAACCACAGGCUAGUAUCCAUAAGUCAAAUAUCUGCAUUUAUCUGAGGCAAGUAAUUUGGGCUUUAUAGGAAAAACAAGAUAUCUACAGUUCCACUGUGAAUGAAAGGAGAAAAACAAAACCUAGCUGUUCUGAGAAGAUGUAACAUGUGUGUUCAUUUGCAUACAGGGCCAAAGAGCCUUCCUUGAUGCCGGUCCAUGUAACGAACGUCCACUCAGUUCUGUGGGAAUUGGAGCUCCUGAUUGAAUACCUUUCUCCAGUUAAAAGAUGUCACUUAUACUGUGAACUCUUGUGGAGAGUGAUGUCUCUUAUCUUGUGAGGGUAGAAUGGCAUGCACUGUCCAUUCCAAUGUUCUCUGAGUUACUAAAACUUAUUAAAUUUGGUGAAUUUCCUCAGAACUUGCUUAUCAUUCAUUAUGUCUUCAGAACUUGAUUAUUUCUUCAUGCCUAUAUUCAAAGGACAUUUACCAAAAGCCUCUCAUGGGCUACCCAUGAUAGAAAGCUCAUCAGUUUGAAAAUUUGAUAAUACAAUGAGACUGUCAAGCAUUCACCAACAUUUUCUAUAAGAAAAGGAAAGACAGGUAAAUGUGUCGUGAAGUACUUAUGACAUGAAGAUAUGAUGGAUAUUAAUAUCACAAGUAAGGAUCAAAUAUAAAUCAAGGUCUUGUACUAUCAUCGUUCUUUUUCUAAUUUAUAAAAUCACUAAGAUAGUUUAAUACAGAGACUUAAGUGCCACUUGGUUUAUCGAUUAUUUAUUGCCUUAUUUAAAAUAGUGAAAUUGAAAACUAUUGUGACCCUGUCCAAUUUAGAGUUCAUGUUUGCUAUACCAGGAUAUGCAUACUACAUACAAAUCACAGCUAAAAUAUACAUAUUCUCAUAAAUAUAUAAAGAUAUAUCCCAGUAGUUCUAAACAGAUAAUCUGCAGUAACCUGCUUUAUAAGGAACACUAGAAAGGGGAAUUUUUUUCAGUCAGUUGUAAGAGGUAAAUAAAAGUCCUCAAGGAAUUGUGAAAGUCUAUUCUUACAAACACAGACUUGAUGCAGUUCACAUUUCCAAUAAAAAUAAAAUAAAACUCGUUGAAGUCUACGAAAUAAAAGCACAUCAGUAAAUUAGCCUAGAAAAUAAAGACUCGCCAGAAAUAUUGUCAAGGAAGAAGACUGAUCAGUUCUGGGAGGUAAUAAAGCAUGCUGGCACAUGCAAGAAUUUCACCUGGCCUAGAAAUGUAUGGGAAAUAUCACCGGGAGGACAAUUCAGAAACGGAUUUAGAUACAUAUGGCCAUUACCAUAAAGAGCACUUCAAGCCAGUGGGGAUAAUGACAAAGUUUUCAAUAAAUCUGUGAUAACUAUGCAGUCCAUUGGAAAAAAAAGUAAUACCACAUCUCCAAACACUACUCAGAUAAAAAUAAACCCCAGAUGGAUCAAAGAUUUAAAGUAAACAAUGAAGCCAUAAAAGUAUUCAGUGAGAAUGUGCUUGAAUUUAUUUAUAACCUGGAGAUGGAGUUGUAUCUUGCCACGCAGAUACAAUAUUGGGAAGCCACAGCUUCGACUGUUUACCCUACUAUGAAAAAAGAGUCAGCGCAGAACAGAAAGACAUGGGAGAGCACAGAAAAAGUGACCACUCCCGCCUAAUUUCUUACUUUGUAAAAGCCUUCUAGAUAGAUUUUUUAAUGGCAAUCUUAUAAAAAGUAGGUACACACACACAUAGUAAGCCAGACAUGAUAUGACAUAGGCCUGUAAUCUAAGUGUUGGGGGAGCUCAGCAAGGAGGAAGAGGAGUUCAAAGUCAGCUUUAGAUAUGUGGCAAGACUCUGCCUCAAUAAUAAUGAUAAUGAAGAAAAGAGCAUUUCACAAGAAAAAACACAUUACUGGUUAUCAGAUGAAAAGAAGCUUUGACUUUCUUAAUCUAGAAACAAAUUAAAAUCAAAACAACAAAGAAAAGAUAAUAUGUAUGUAAGACCACGUAAUAAUCGUAAUAGUUGUAAUAGCAAUUUGGAAAUGUAAUAAAAUGUAAGAUAUAGACAUGUAAUUUAAAAGCAAUCAUUUAAAUCCCAAUUGGUGAAAGAUCUGUUAACUAAAUUAUAGUACAUAUAAAUAAUGAAAUAAUGUUAAGCUAGCCAAGUGAAGAAUCAGAAUUGAUCCAGGUACGGUAGAAUGUGCCUGAAGUCUUAGCACUUGGGAAGCUGAAGGAAGAGGAUACUGAAAGCCAGAUAGUGAGCCCUGCAAGAAAACAUUGGGCUAGAUACAAAUAUUAUGAAAAUCUUAUCACUUAGUCAGCUAUGUGAAAAUUAUCAUAUAAAUAAUUACAGAGGGUGACAUGGAGCAACCGGCACACUUGAACGCUGACUGUGUAGGUGAGGUUGCUUCUUCCACAAACACUCACAAAAGUGGAGGCUUAAGGAAUAAAGACAUUUUUAAAAGCCAUGGUCAGAGGAGGAAAUGGGACUGCAUUUCACUCUAAGACAUGGCAUAUCCAAGAUUUUCCAAACAUCUCUUCUAGAGAAAUACACAAAAGCCAUACUGCUUAAUCAGUGUGCUCCUCACUCAGGAUAUUCUGACGGACCUCUACCCUGUUCCUCAGAAUAGCGACUCCAAUUUGCACUGCUACCAAAAGUGCACAAGAGUUUCUUCUUCGUUAUGUCACUUGCCAACAUUUAUAUUUUUUUCUAAAAGCUAUUUUGAAAGGUAUGUGGUUAUAUCUUAUCGAGAUUUUAACUGAUUUUCACAGGUGAUUUUUUUUUCAUUACCCACCAACUAGGUGUGUUUAGGAACUGGAGAAAGGGCUCAGAUGGAGGAGUGCUUGCCCAGCACGCAGAAGAUGCUAAAUUCUCUUCCUAGCACUGCAGACAGGCAUGGUGGAUUAUAGUGUAAAUAUAUAAGUAGACUUGUGCCUAUAAUCCCAGGACGCUGGAGGUAGAGGCAAGAGGAGGAAGAUUCAAGGUCAUCAUCAGCUAUAUAGAAAUUUUGAGAGCAACCUGAACCAUGUGAGACCCAAAAGGAAAAGAAAUGAGCUGCCAACUUCAAGCUGGAGUUUUAGUCUUGAUAAGCAGGAAAUAUCUACGCUUAAACUACGUCCUCACUCUGCCCAGUAUAUAGCCCAGGAUGGCCUUGAGCUUUUGUCAACCCUGCCACCAGUACCUGAGAACCAGGAUUACAGGCAUAAGACACCGUGCUUGGCUUACAAUCAAAUUUUAAUUUUUUUAAAUAUACUUUUAUUCCAAAUACUCUUUAUUUUAAAAAAAAAGCUAGCAAACUGGUUUAGAAUUAUACAGUACUUUAAAUUUCUGAUGUUUUCCAUAGAAGACCCCAUAAUCUGAACUUACAGAAUUGUGUAUUUGUAUUUACCCUAAAGCUCACAAACACUUAUUGAGUUUUCAAAAUUCUGAUAUACCCGAAAUAUAUACAAGACUUAUUUAGGUAAUGGUGGGAAGCAUAUAAAACAGAAUAAACAAUUUAAAUAGCUAUAAAUAUAGGACAUGAUGCAAUCAUUGAUUUAAAAAAAUCUGCAUAGACAGGUAACAUACAACCAAAGGUCUACAAGAAUUUUAGAGAAAAUUGAAGAAUUUCCCAAGGAAUUGAAGAAAAUCCAACAAAAUUUUAUUUAUUUUUGCUUUCUGGUCAAAUUCUGUAGUCUAAAUUUAAUUACAACAGAGAGAUUAUCUUUUUCAAAUGUAAUUCGGAUACUAAUCGUGGUGUUUUGGAUAAGAAUGGCCCCCUUAGGCUCCUAUGUUUGGUUCCAAGCUGAUAGACUUUUAGGAAGGAUUAGGAGGCGGAGCCUUGUUGGAGAAGGUGUGGCACUAAGGGUAGCUUUGCGAUUCCAAAAGUCUUUCUGCCUCCAGCUUUGGUUCAAAUGUAAGCCAGGCCUGCCUGCCUGCCUGGAUGACAGUGUGCUCACCCUCUGAAAUGGUAAGGAAUCCCCAAUGAAAGGCUUUCUCUUUAAAAAAUGCCCUGGUCAUGGUUUCUAUUCACGGCACAGACAAUAUAUAUUUUUCAUCCCUUCACUAACUGGGCAUUUAGCUUUGAAUUCCCCAGACCAUCUCCUUGCAGCACAGAGCUGAGCUGUCUGCCCAUUGCCCUGUGCUGAUAUUUAUCCUCUGCUUACUCAUGCGGUUUCCCUCCUAGGGUUCAGGCAUCAAUUUGUACACUGUGUAUGUCCGUUAUCCGACUGCUAAGACUUGAAAGACCCCUAGUUUUCCCAACGUUGUACUUUUGAACUCCAACUACCACAUGAAGAAACUGGGCAAGCAGAUAAAGAAAUCCUGAAGACAUGGAUAUCGAUCCGGCUACUUAUCUAGAUGAGUCUGAGCUCACCUGCUAACGAGACCACAGAAAAGGGUCUAGAUCUAGUGCAUAAGAGCUUCGUCCACCUGCCAGACACGUAGGUAUGACUAUUUGAACCAACAAAUCACUUAGCCAUCUUGUCAAAGACACAAACAACCUUGUGAGCCUCGUCAACACACUUCUUUAGUAAAGAGAACUAAUAGAAGAAAAACUAGGGAAG